rnacentral:rRNA from 1 species
CAAUAGCGUAUAUUAAAGUUGUUGCGGUAAAAAAGCUCGUAGUUGGAUUUCUACCGAAGAUAGCCGGUCGGGUCUUCGACCUUGUAUCUGGUUUUGUCUUUGGUAUCCUCAUAGGGAACGUUUCUGCGCUUUAUUGCGUGGUGCUGUAUCUAUGACUUUUACUUUGAGGAAAUUAGAGUGUUCACGGCAGGCAAACGCCUUGAAUAUAUUAGCAUGGAAUAAUAACAUAGGAUCUUCGUCCUAUUUUGUUGGUUUCUAGGGCUAAGAUAAUGAUUAAUAGGGAUAAUUGGGGGCAUCUGUAUCAACGCGUCAGAGGUGGAAUUCUUGGAUUGCGUUGCGACAAACUACUGCGAAAGCAUUUGCCAAGGAUGUUUUCAUUGA